ensembl:snRNA U6 U6 spliceosomal RNA
GUGCUCACUUCGGCAGCACAUAUACUAAAAUGGGAAUGAUACAGAAAAGAUUGGCAUGAGCCCUGUGCAAGGAUGACACAUGAAUUGGUGAAGCGUUCCAUAUACUA